rnacentral:rRNA from 1 species
AUGUCGCCUAAUAAUAGAAGCCCAGGGCCUGAUGGGUUUACAAACAAAUUCUACAAAGCUUUCAAGCUGUUGAUCAAGGAUGACCUACUCAAAUUCUUUGGGGAUUUCCAUGCAAACCAAGCUGCUUUGGAUGGCAUUAAUGUUGCGUAUAUAACCUUGCUACCUAAGGUUGAUGCACCUAUGGAGAUGAGGGAUUUUAGGCCCAUCUCCCUAGUGCACAGUGCUCCUAAAUUGGUGUCCAAGGUUCUAACAUGCCGACUGCAAGGGAGAAUUCCUGAGCUGGUGCACUCCUUGCAGUCGGGGUUCCUGAAAGGCCGCUCGAUCAUGGAAAACUUUGCUUUGGUUGCUGAAAUGAUACAGACAGCGCAUAAAAGGAGGUUGCCGAUGAUUGCCUUGAAGCUGGACUUUCGGAAAGCGUUCGACUCUGUUAGUUGGGACUGCCUUGCACAGGUUUUACAUGCAAGGGGCUUCCCUUCGCGGUGGACGCAGUGGAUCCAUACGCUCCUCUCUACCGAACGCUCCAGGGUGCUCAUCAACGGUGAACCGAGCAAUCCCAUCCUGGCAAAGAGAGGUUUUCGGCAGGGGGAUUCCUUGUCGCCGUAUCUCUUCAUCCUCGUUGCUGAUGUGCUCCAACGUUUAUGCUGCUGGCAUUUUCAGAAUGGCAGAUUGAUACACCCUCUUGGCUCAGAUUGUUUCUUCCCAGUCCUGCAAUAUGCGGACGACACUCUGAUUCUUUUUCGAGGGGAAGUGGAGCAGGCUAGAGUUAUCAAGAGCAUCCUCACUACGUUCUCGGAGUUCUCGGGGCUGACUAUUAAUUACCAGAAAAGCACCUUGGUGCCUGUCUGUGUGCCUCAGGAUGUGGCCAUAGAAAUCGCCCAAAUUUUUGGAUGCCCGGUCUCUUCCUUUCCAAGUACAUAUUUGGGGCUGCCUCUCUCGUUGCAUAAGUGUUGGGGAACAUAG